AUGCUCCAGAAUAGCUCUUGGAAACGGGUGGUAAUGCUGGAUGCUCCAACUUGACGCAUGUCUUGUUGGGAAAGUGUUUAGUGGCAUGGGAUGGGGUCGCGUCCUAUCAGCUUGUAGGCGGGGUAAUGGCCCACCUAGGCUUCGACGGGUAGCCGGCCUGAGAGGGCGGACGGCCACAUUGGGACUGAGAUACGGCCCAGACUCCUCGGGAGGCAGCAGU
rnacentral:rRNA from 1 species